rnacentral:rRNA from 1 species
UGGGGAAUUUUGGACAAUGGGGGCAACCCUGAUCCAGCCAUUCCGCGUGAGUGAAGAAGGCCUUCGGGUUGUAAAGCUCUUUCGGCAGGGAAGAAACGGUUACGGCGAAUACCCGUGACUAAUGACGGUACCUGAAGAAGAAGCACCGGCUAACUACGUGCCAGCAGCCGCGGUAAUACGUAGGGUGCGAGCGUUAAUCGGAAUUACUGGGCGUAAAGCGUGCGCAGGCGGUUUUGUAAGACAGGUGUGAAAUCCCCGGGCUUAACCUGGGAACUGCGCUUGUGACUGCAAGACUCGAGUACGGCAGAGGGGGGUGGAAUUCCACGUGUAGCAGUGAAAUGCGUAGAGAUGUGGAGGAACACCGAUGGCGAAGGCAGCCCCCUGGGUCGAUACUGACGCUCAUGCACGAAAGCGUGGGGAGCAAACAGG